UCUUGCGCAGGUCUUGGAAGCCAUCUUCAUGUUGGAGCUUUUUCUUAUGUGACAACAGCAUGCUAAAGUGAGUUCAGAAAACUGUGGAGCAGAAGAGCAAAAACUUGUUUGAUCUUGAUUUUCCAUGCAAAUACACAAUGAAAAGUGAGGUCUCACGAUCAUUCUGACUUUUCAGGUUUUAAGCAGAAGUCUCAAAAUAGUUACCACAGGGAUAACUGAUGUGAGGUGGUUACGUGUUUUAGGCACGAUGGGUUUUUUUAUUCAGAGAUUUUGGCUCUUCCUUUAAUAUGGAAGGAGACUUUACCAAGUGCUGGGUAAUUCAUCCGCUAUCAGGGAAUGUGAACUGCAUUUAGACUAUGGUUAGGUAAGUUACUUCUACCCUUCCAGUGA
rnacentral:ncRNA from 1 species